rnacentral:rRNA from 1 species
ACGCUCGACACCUACGGGAGGUAGCAGUGGGGAAUAUUGCACAAUGGGGGAAACCCUGAUGCAGCGACGCCGCGUGAGCGAAGAAGUAUUUCGGUAUGUAAAGCUCUAUCAGCAGGGAAGAAACUGACGGUACCUGACUAAGAAGCACCGGCUAAAUACGUACCAGCAGCCGCGGUAAUCUGAGCGGGCUGGCAAGGC